rnacentral:rRNA from 1 species
AUGCCACGACGAGGGGAUAAGGCGCCCCCUCGGGCUCUCCACUCGCCCGCCCACUCGCCCAGAUCCACUUCCCCCUCCUUCCUUCGUCGCUCUCUCUCCCUCACCCAAAUCCACAUGGCCGAACGACGCCGUCGCCGCCCACCGGCGUCCACUGCGGCCCCUGCCACCCCAGGCACCCCGACGCGUCCAUCCGCUUCGCCGGCCUCCGCUGCAUCUUUCCUGACCACCCGCUCGAGCCGGAGCCCACUACAGCACCGCCCCGACCAAGUCGUCGUCCUCGGCUCCGACGAGCACCGUCGCCCGCUCCGCCCCUUCUGCUGCUCCUAA